GAUGAAGAACGUAGCGAAAUGCGAUACGUAAUGUGAAUUGCAGAAUUCAGUGAAUCAUCGAAUCUUUGAACGCAUAUUGCGCUCUCUGGUAUUCCGGAGAGCAUGCUUGUUUGAGUAUCAGUAAACACCUCAACUUCCAUAUCUUUUUUGAAAUGGGAGUUGGACUUGAGUGAUCCCAACGCUUUUCCUCACCGAAAAGUGGCGGGUUAUUUGAAAUGCAGGUGCAGCUGGACUUUUCUCUGAGCUAUAAGCAUAUCUAUUUAGUCUGCCUAAAAAACAGAUUAUUACCUUUGCUGCAGCUAACAUAAAGGAGAUUAGUUCUUGUGCUGACUGAUGCAGGAUUCACAAAGACGGCUUCGGCCGACUUUGUAAACUCGAUCUCAAAUCAAGUAAGACUACCCGCUGAACUUAAGCAUAUCAAUAAGCGGAGGA
rnacentral:misc_RNA from 1 species